UACGUAGGUGGCAAGCGUUGUCCGGAUUUAUUGGGCGUAAAGCGCGCGCAGGCGGUCUUUUAAGUCUGAUGUGAAAUCUCGCGGCUCAACCGUGAGCGGUCAUUGGAAACUGGGAGGCUUGAGUACAGAAGAGGAGAGUGGAAUUCCACGUGUAGCGGUGAAAUGCGUAGAUAUGUGGAGGAACACCAGUGGCGAAGGCGACUCUCUGGUCUGUAACUGACGCUGAGGCACGAAAGCGUGGGGAGCGAACGGG
rnacentral:rRNA from 1 species